AAUGUCUCUGUAGCUCAGCAGGAUAGAGCGUUCGCCUCCUAAGCGGUAGAUGGUUCGAGUCCAAAUGAGGCA
rnacentral:tRNA from 1 species